rnacentral:rRNA from 1 species
GGAGGGUGCAAGCGUUAUCCGGAUUCACUGGGUUUAAAGGGUGCGUAGGCGGGAAUGUAAGUCAGUGGUGAAAUCUCGGAGCUUAACUCCGAAACUGCCAUUGAUACUAUGUUUCUUGAAUAUUGUGGAGGUGAGCGGAAUAUGUCAUGUAGCGGUGAAAUGCUUAGAUAUGACAUAGAACACCGAUUGCGAAGGCAGCUCGCUACACAUAUAUUGACGCUGAGGGCACGAAAGCGUGGGGAUCAAACAGGAUUAGAUACCCUGGUAGUCCCACGCCCCUAAACUAUGAUUACUCGACGUGUGCGAUACACAGUACGCGUCUGAGCGAAAGCGUUAAGUAAUCCACCUGGGAAGUACGACCGCAAGGUUG